rnacentral:rRNA from 1 species
ACCCGCUGAACUUAAGCAUAUCAAUAAGCGGAGGAAAAGAAACCAACAGGGAUUGCCUCAGUAACGGCGAGUGAAGCGGCAACAGCUCAAAUUUGAAAUCUGGCCCCAGGCCCGAGUUGUAAUUUGCAGAGGAUGCUUUUGGUGAGGUGCCUUCCAAGUUCCCUAGAACGGGACGCCAGAGAGGGUGAGAGCCCCGUACAGUUGGACACCGAGCCUUUGUAAAGCUCCUUCGACGAGUCGAGUAGUUUGGGAAUGCUGCUCAAAAUGGGAGGUAUAUUUCUUCUAAAGCUAAAUACCGGCCAGAGACCGAUAGCGCACAAGUAGAGUGAUCGAAAGAUGAAAAGCACUUUGAAAAGAGGGUUAAACAGCACGUGAAAUUGUUAAAAGGGAAGCGCUUGUGACCAGACUUGCGUCCGGUGAAUCACCCAGCUCUCGCGGCUGGGGCACUUCGCCGGCUCAGGCCAGCAUCAGCUCGCUGUCGGGGACAAAAGCUUCAGGAACGUAGCUCUCUUCGGGGAGUGUUAUAGCCUGUUGCAUAAUACCCUUCGGCGGGCUGAGGUACGCGCUCCGCAAGGAUGCUGGCAUAAUGGUCAUCAGCGACCCGUCUUGAAACACGGACCAAGGAGUCAACCUUAUGUGCGAGUGUUCGGGUGUCAAACCCCUACGCGUAAUGAAAGUGAACGCAGGUGAGAGCUUCGGCGCAUCAUCGACCGAUCCUGAUGUUCUCGGAUGGAUUUGAGUAAGAGCAUAUAGGGUUGGACCCGAAAGAAGGUGAACUAUGCGUGUGUAGGGUGAAGCCAGAGGAAACUCUGGUGGAGGCUCGCAGCGGUUCUGACGUGCAAAUCGAUCGUCAAACAUGCGCAUGGGGGCGAAAGACUAAUCGAACCUUCUAGUAGCUGGUUUCCGCCGAAGUUUCCCUCAGGA